UUAACUCUAAUGGUUUAAGUUAAAAUAAUUUAUUUAAUCUAGUUUAUGUCAAGAGCAUACACAAUAAUAAAAAAAAUAUUCAAAAGAUAUUACAAACAAGUACACUUAAAAUAAAGUUUUUUUAUUGCCAUUAGUGGUUCCCAGAAGCACAUUUAACACCCAUGGAACCUUACAUUCAACCAAAGGUUAUUUAAUUUAAUAAAAUUAUUCUUUUAAGUACUGUUCACUGAAAGGGCAUUUUUUUCACGUGAAAAAAGAAUCCAUCGAAAGAGUCCGAUUGUGUAUCAGUGAUAGAUUUACUCAUGGGAGAAAAAGCACGGUCUCAAUCUGGCAACGGAACGGAAACCGCUGCACAUAUUCCUUCAAGUCCCAUCUGCCCAAUUAGUCUUUAAUUUUUAGGCGUUUUGUUAGUUACAACUCGCGUUUCUGUGUGAUUCUUAAUCUGGAGGCCUAUAACGUGAGUGAACAAGCUUGUCUAGCUAAAAUAUAAAAUGGACAGUUAAUCUGGAAUAAACGAGUUUGCCGCUGAGUUCAGUAUGUAGCUAGCGUUAGUUGUUUUUAUGCUAUUUUAGCAUGUGAAGCUAUUUUUAUUGAAGCUCUGACAGAUAUAUCAUUGUCAUGCAGUGCAAGUUAUGCCCAUUUGUUUGCUCUACCAGGCCAAGCCUUUUAAAACACUAUAGACUGUACCAUUUUUUGCAUUCAGCUGUAUGUCCAGUGCCAUGUUUGUAUGAGGGCUGUAUGUGUACAGUGACGUCAUACAAUUCCCCCAAGAUACACAUGACAAGAUUUCACUCUGAGAAGAAAGAGACACACGGCCAUGAAAAGUCCUUAGUAUAGGCAAGACAAGGUUCAUUUUUGGGUGAACUAUUUCUUUAUGCACAUCCCUGCCCCCAGUAAUGCUUACAGGUGCUUGCAGUUUCAUCGCAUCACAAACCAAAAUUUGCAGCAAACCUUUUACAGUUCCCUGGACAAGCACACUCCACAGCUCCUGACACUUUUCAGAGCUAAGGCAUCGAAGGGUGGUACCAUUGGCAACCAGAUGGCUAAAAUAUUAAAAGUCUAUCAUGAACAAGAUAAGGAUGACAUCAGUGUCAUUGGAACUCUUGUCCUGGCUGGACUGCCACUUUACUUGAAGUAAGACUCGUCGGAUGUUUUCAAGACACACACGAGGGAUGAGAUCAACCAGGCACAAAAGGCAGCAGUUGCCAUCAUUGCUGUCAAGGAGGAAGAGGGAGCGCUACCUAUUGACCCACUCGAUGUCUUAAUUGUCCUUGAAGAUGACGCGGUGAUGUCUUCAAAAUCCUGGGUCAGUGCUCUGAUGCUGCUUUUUGGACUGCUUUAUGCCCUUCAUAUCGGCUACCCCAAGAAGCUGACAGUUUUUUUUGAGUUCCUGCAAAAGGUACUGUUGAAUCUUGAUGAUGGCAAGGCUAGGCCAAAGUUGCUGGCACUUAAAAAUGAACUGCUGAAUUAGUGUCGUAAAAUUCGUACUGUUUUGAGUUCCAUUAAGAGGGAAGAAGGUUCAAGUUGAAGUUUUAGGAUUUUAAAACUGCUGUUAUUGAAUUUGCUUUAAAAUGUCCCUGU